GUCCACGCGGUAAACGAUGACGACUAGGUGUGGGGGGUUCAGUCCCUUCCGUGCCGCAGCUAACGCAUUAAGUCGUCCGCCUGGGGAGUACGGCCGCAAGGUUGAAACUCAAAGGAAUUGACGGGGGCCCGCACAAGCGGUGGAGCAUGUGGUUCAAUUCGAUGCAGAGCGAAGAACCUUACCUGGGCUUGACAUGCAGGAAGUAGGAACCCGAAAGGGGGACGACCUGUUGAGUCAGGAACCUGCACAGGUGGUGCAUGGCUGUCGU
rnacentral:rRNA from 1 species